UCAAAAACAUGUCUUUUUGAUAUUAAUUUAAAGUCUAAUCUGCCCACUGAUAAAUAUUAUUAAAGGGCUGCAGUAUAUUGACUGUACAAAGGUAGCAUAAUCAUUAGUCUUUUAAUUGAAGACUUGUAUGAAGGAUUUGAUGAAAUAUAAACUGUCUCUAAUUUAUAAAUAGAAAUUAAUUUUUUAAUUAAAAAGUUAAAAUAUUAUUAAAAGACGAGAAGACCCUAUAGAGUUUUAUAAUUUAUUUAUUUAAUUAUAAAAUAUAUAUUUAAAUUAAUAAAUAGAUAAAUUAUUAUAUUGGGGUGAUAAAAAAAUUUAAUAAACUUUUUUUAAUUAAAUAACAUAAAUAAAUGAAAAAAUGAUCCAUUAUUAAUGAUUAAAAGAAAAAAUUACCUUAGGGAUAACAGCGUAAUAUUUUUUUUUAGUACAAAUAAAAAAAAAAGUUUGCGACCUCGAUGUUGGAUUAAGAUAAAAUUUAAAUGCAAAAGUUUAAAAGUUUUGAUCUGUUCGAUCAUUAAAAUCUUACAUGAUCUGAGCU
rnacentral:rRNA from 1 species